CUAAAUAAAUCAGAAAUUAUUUGUUUAUAUUUUUCAGGAUAACAUCAAGCAGUACGAAAUAUAAAGGUUCGCAGUUUUGACUAUGCUCAACAUCAAAGCCAACACAUAAAUGCAGAUUCUUUGGAGUUGCUGUGAAUCCUCAUGCAAAUUCGUUGGAGCUGCUGUGAAUCCAUAUGCAGUACUGCUGUUGGAAAAGGAGCAAACAGUGUGGUAUCUAUGGCCCACCAUCACUUCAAGCAUCAUUGCUAUGGAGAAAAGAAUGUUUCAUUACAUAUGCGCAAUUAUAGUGGACGAAAUAAAAGAAGUUGUAAUAAGCUAUGGAAUGUGGCUUGUUAUGAUGGGUCUACAUGAUGAAUUGGAGUACAACCUGAUGGAGGCAGGGCAUACAGAAUUCACUCCUGAACAUGUUUAGAAUGUCUUCUGCAUGACCUGGUACAGUAUUCUUGAAGGAUUAUAACUUCAACACAGAGACGGAGAUUAGUAUUUUUAGGCAGGGGGUUGGCAUGACAGGCAAAUUCACCAGCCGUAUUACCAUUCUUGAGCUUGAUGCCAGUCGACCGUGGUACCUGUAUAAUGAAAUAGCGCCCCUUUGCCACAACAGCAAUGUAUGCUCAAAACCAGCAGUGCCUAAGCUAUCAAAAUUGUGAACUGCAGUCAUUUAAAACGAAGAAUGAAUGGAAAAAAGUGUUUAACAUUUAAAAUAAUAGAGAAAAAAAUCUCUGAAAGUUUAAUUAAUUUGAAAGUGUUUUUGAUUUUUUGAAGAUGUACUAGACCCAAAUUCCAUAUAUCUGAAUUCCAAAAAUGUUACAUAUAGUAUAUGUAAACUUUGAAUUAACAACUUUAUGGUGUCAACAGUAAUAUGCAUUUGUUAAAUAUUGACACACUAUAUACAUGUAAGGCUGAACACAGUAUAAAUGAGAUUAUGUUGUAUUGUGUUAACUGCGUAACGAUGGAAACUUUUUUCUGUUGUUCUAUAUUAUGUCUUGAAAAAAAAAAACAUUGUUGGAAGAACACUUUUCAUUGAUGCAUUUUUUAUUUUUACAUGUAAUGGUAAAUGCUGAAAGUGUUCUACAACAACUUACCAGAAAUGUCAUUGUUGCCUCAUUGAAGCAUAUACCGCAACUCCAUUUUAACCAUAGCAACAGAAAUAUAUUGUACAUGUACCUUUUAACAGUUUUAAGCUAUGCUUUCCUCUUUGAUUUUGUCUGACGGAACAAGUAGAUGACUACGAUGAAUGCCUUUAUGAGUGUUUAGCUAAAAGUUUGCUUUUAAUUUAUAUUUAAAGAACAUUUUUAUGCUUAAGAUACCUUGCCUUCUGCUUCCAUUGCGUGUGUUAGCUUUUAUUUUCAUCUUAAUAUUCCGGCGAUUCAUUGUGCGAUCAUUUUACCUUUUCUUUGCGACGGAUUCCGCGGAGUUCGGUUUUUGAAAGAAUCAAAACAGUUCGAAAGAAGAGACACGACCUGGAGCCAAAUAGAAUUAUUACGGAUAUGACAUUUAAGUGCAAUUUAGUACUUUUACAGUCUUGACAUAGUGUUAUAAUUGUUUAUUAACGUCACUAUCGUUAGUGUUUUGUCGUGUAUGGACAAUAUUUUGAUUAGAGUUUUGUCUGUCUUUUAAUCAUUGUAAUUUGUCAUCUUUUGUUUAUCAUCUGUAAUCAAAUUUGUAAAAAGUGUACAUAGAUGUCUGAUGUUGUUCUGAUCUGCUAUUGUUUUCCGUGUACCCAUCUCCCCCUUCCGUCCUGUGAAACAUAUAUGUAGGGAUUAUGUAUGCAUAGGCUAAAUUAGACGAGAAAGAAAUAAGCAGGCAAAGCAGGAAAAUAAAACUCUUUUAACUACACACAUGCCUACUGAAAAUACAUGUUAUGUGGUUAGCGCAAAGAAGGCUAGAAGGCGUGUUAUGUUGUUCUGUUCUUAUUUUUAUUAAUCUUUGUUUAGUGCCAUUACGGGCAUUUUUAGUGUCAUAUUUAUACAUCAUGUGCCAAAGUUAUGUUCUUAUUUUGAUAAUUUGAAAAAAAAUCGUUUUGAAUUUACUGGUUGAACAAAUGUUUCAGAUCAAUAAAAGCCAUAUUUAGUGAGAAAAAUACUGUUGUUUACAGUAGUGUGUUUACUUUACAUAAAUAUAUCGAAUGUUAAAAAUGUUCGAUGUUCUGUUUGUUACAAUUAUUAAACGGUAACUGAUGUCAUAUCCGUAACUGUACCAUCCAUAAGAACAUUAAAUAUUAAUUUGCACAAUUUUUACAUAGAAGGAGAUGGUGUGUAAGUGACUUAAUAAGACCACGCUUGGAUGUCAAUUGUCAGCAGAUAAUCAAAUGUCUUUAUCGUCUGUUUCCUGCAUGGUCCAUAAUUUUAUCAUUUAUUUUAUCUGGCCUUGUGUUUGAUGAGAACAUUUGGCACACGCUAUACCCAUAAAGAUGAAAAAUUAUUCUAAGUUGUAAACCUAACCCUUACCAUAGAUAUAUCUUAAAAAUAUCCCCGUUACAUUUAUAUGGACAACCUGUUUUCUACGCUAAUUGUCAGAAUACUUAAUUCUGGUACAUAAUAGGUAGAUCAAACAUUAUGUUACAUGUAUUUGCUCAGUUGCCUAAGGAGGGUAACAUACUCCAGUACACGUUUGACAGCAUUCAGAAAGACAACAAACAUUUGUAAAGCAUUACAGCUAUUUUAAAACACAAAAGUAUGCCUUCUGAGUUUUAGCAAUUUAAAAAAAGAGAUUGUGAACACUUCAAUGACUAUAACUCUUUAAGCAACUUUAUUUAAGGCCCAAAUAAUACUUUCGUGUAUGAAGUUAAUACCAUUAGAAUGGAUUAGAUUUAUACUUUACUGAAUGUUAAAUUAAACAAAAGGGAAUGAAAAGUUGAAUAAACAUAGUUUUGUAUAAUUUGAAAACAAGAAAUGAGUUGAUACUUCCGUAUCAGGACAUACGGGGACAUCUUAUAUUCAAUGACUGAUAUCAUGUAAGAAUUACGGCAUGUGAUAUCUAGUUUGUCAACUAUUCGUCGCAGGAGGAAAAAACGAAAAACACAUUUAGGCAGACGCUCCUUCUUCCAUUAAGAGUAAAGGGUUUCGAUAAAAUUUUAUUUUUGAACGACUGCUUGAAAGAUUAAAAGACAAGGCAAAACAGCUUUUUUCUGCCUUAAUUGAGGAUAGAGACAAGAAAACUUAAUUACUGAACUUGAUUACAGAAUAUUUUAAGGUAUUGUAUGAAUAAUGUCCCGUAUAACAUAAAUCGCUUAUGUAAUGGUUUAACCAGAAAAAAUGGUAUACACACAUAUGUCUGCCUUCGGAUACUAUUACAUGUUUUGUAACUUGGACAGACAUUUUUUGUCAGCUUUAUAUUUUGCUGUCAUUUUGGGUCAAUUCUGUCACUGGUUCCUUAAAACGAAAUGUUGACUUCGUACUUGUUUGAGAAUACGGACACAUUUUUUAAUUUAAUAGCAGAUUAACUAAUUGCUAUAAUUAUCUUACGAAACAGCAGCUGACUAAUUAAACGAUAAUCUGUUUUAUUACUAACAAACUGUUUUUACCAAACUUGUAAACGACUCCAUGUUUACAGAAAAUGUGCGAGGAACUCAUCUUAAAGUAUAAGGCACCAUUAAUCUAUAUUCAUCUUCUCUUUGUUGAAUAACUCGUGACCUGUUUCAGUUUUAUUUUCAAAGUGUUUCAGUAUCCUUUGGUCGAAGAAAGCUUACAUUUUGACUUAAACAGAAACUACACUCUUGUGUAUAUUAGUACGUGUCAAACGUUGCGUUUGAAAACCAUAAUUUGAAUUCUUUGAAACGUGACAAUUUUGCAUGGUGUGAUUUUAUACGAUUAUUAUGAACAACUACCACAUGUUGACGUUGUUUGUCUGUAUAGCGCACGAAAUAAAGUGCUCCGUGAGGAAACUUUUUCGUGUCUAAUGCUUUCAAACGUAUUUCGGAAUGAUUAAGCACAACUUUAUUGAACGCAACCUGAUCAAUUCGCAGAUGUUUCUCCAGAAAUGUGUCCCAUGCUUGCAUUAAGUUCCGACAUGCCUGGCAAUUUUUUAUCACUAUAAAUCCCGUACAGUAGUUUCGUAGUCCAUAUUUUGGCAUCAGUAUGUCAAACGUAUCAUUAAACAACGGAAAUGGGUUUUUUAACCAAACAGUAUCAGCAUCUGUAUAUACAACGUUGUACCCUUUCUGCAAGUAUUUCAAUAUAUACUUUGGGCGCCCUGAUACCAAUUUAGAGAAAGGUUUAGUUCCGUACGUAGCAGCAGCAGUCGUUGAAUUCCGCAAACUUUUAUCAGGUGUAAUAUAAGUAUAUUUGUUAAGCAGUUUGGGGUACACAAUGUUAUCUUCGGCAAUUACUAUUAUUCUGAUAUCCAAAUUAAGUUUUCUGUAAAAAUGAAGCCAAUUUUGGAAAAAGUCGUAGAAACCGUCAUUUAUUGUUAGUAAUAUGAUCCAAUCCUUAUACGAUUGUGUCAACAAAUUCGCAGUAUUUUUACUUUUGUAAUGGAAAUAUUGAGUACUCACCAAAACAGAAACUAAAGAAAAUGACAGAACGAUGAAGACAAAUGUUUUUUGCAUUAUUUUGCUAAAGCUUGAUUUAAAGAAAUAUAUAUUACAAAGGUUUGCUACAGGAGUGGCAUCGAUUUAUUU
rnacentral:lncRNA from 1 species